rnacentral:rRNA from 1 species
ACCUCAUGCUCCUUGGAGCGGCCGAUAUCUGAUUAGCUAGUUGGUAGGGUAAAAGCCUACCAAGGCAUCGAUCAGUAGCUGGUCUGAGAGGACGACCAGCCACACUGGAACUGAGACACGGUCCAGACUCCUACGGGAGGCAGCAGUGGGGAAUUUUGGACAAUGGGCGCAAGCCUGAUCCAGCAAUGCCGCGUGAGUGAAGAAGGCCUUCGGGUUGUAAAGCUCUUUUGUCAGGGAAGAAACGAUAUCCUCUAAUACAGGGUGUUAAUGACGGUACCUGAAGAAUAAGCACCGGCUAACUACGUGCCAGCAGCCGCGGUAAUACGUAGGGUGCAAGCGUUAAUCGGAAUUACUGGGCGUAAAGCGUGCGCAGGCGGUUUUGUAAGACUGUCGUGAAAUCCCCGGGCUCAACCUGGGAAUGGCGAUGGUGACUGCAAGGCUAGAGUUUGGCAGAGGGGGGUAGAAUUCCACGUGUAGCAGUGAAAUGCGUAGAUAUGUGGGGGAACACCGAUGGCGAAGGCAGCCCCCUGGGUCAAAACUGACGCUCAUGCACGAAAGCGUGGG